rnacentral:rRNA from 1 species
UCCUAUGAUUUUAAGAGGAAAAAGAAAAAAUAAUUAUAGAUGUACGUGCAAGCUAUAAAGCAAAUAAAUAAAUUCCCAACAUUACUACUAUAAAUUAAAAAUAAUAAUAUUAUUAAAACAAACAUCUUACAAGAAUAUUAACAACACAUAACAUUGUGCAAUAUGCAAACACAUGACACAGCAUAAAUUAAAAACAAGAACAGGCCAAAAAUGUGCCAGCAGCCGCGGCUAAACAUUUUGUACUAAUUUUCCAAAAUGUUUAUAAUAAAGGAAUCCAUAAAAAAAGAAAUAUGAACAAAAAAAUAAUAGUAAAAUACCCAAAAUACAACACAACCCCAACAACACAAUUUCUAAAAAAAAGACCUACUACAUUAAAGCAUAGAAAACAAAAAGGAUUAGAUACCCUUGUAGCCUACGCCAUAAAAACAACAAAAAAAGUAUGCUCGCAAGACAGAAACUUAAUAAAUUUGAGAGAGCUAAAAAAAUCAGAGAGGCGUAUGUUUUAAUUCGAAAAUACACGAAAAUCUUACCUUCACCCCACAAGUAAAAUAUCCCCGUAUAUUGCUUUUAUAAUAAAAAAAAACAAAUUCCCCUACAUAAUAAAUAGGAAAUAUACCGGUCACCACACUCUUUAUGUGAAGGGCUAACAAGCGCCACAAACUAUUAAUCAAACCUAACAGUUCUAAUACCAUGAAAAAACAAGGAGAAUUUGAAAGUAAUUAUUCAUAAUAAAAACAUAAUGAAACACUAAAAUAAGCUGUUACAAACCGCCCGUCAAUUCUUAAAAAACACUAACAACCAAAGAAAGAAAAACCCAUAAUAAAUAAUAAAAACAAAAAAAUUAAGAAUAAGUCGUAACAAGGUAGCCGUACCCGAAGGUGCGGCUAAACAUAAAU